rnacentral:rRNA from 1 species
UAUACAGCGAAACUGCGAAUGGCUCAUUAUAUAAGUUAUCGUUUAUUUGAUAGUGCCUUACUACUUGGAUAACCGUGGUAAUUCUAGAGCUAAUACAUGCUAAAAACCCCGACUUCGGAAGGGGUGUAUUUAUUAGAUACAAAACCAAUGCCCUUCGGGGCUCUUUGGUGAUUCAUGAUAACUAUACGAAUCGCACGGCCUUGCGCCGGCGAUGGUUCAUUCAAAUUUCUUCCCUAUCAACUUUCGAUGUUUGGGUAUUGGCCAAACAUGGUUGCAACGGGUAACGGAGGGUAGGGCUCGACCCCGGAGAAGGAGCCUGAGAAACGGCUACUACAUCCAAGGAAGGCAGCAGGCGCGCAAAUUACCCAAUCCCGACUCGGGGAGGUAGUGACAAUAAAUACUGAUACAGGGCCCUUUCGGGCCUUGUAAUUGGAAUGAGUACAAUUUAAAUCCCUUAACGAGGAACAAUUGGAGGGCAAGUCUGGUGCCAGCAGCCGCGGUAAUUCCAGCUCCAAUAGCGUAUAUU